rnacentral:miRNA from 1 species
UUAAUGAUUCAUGUAUGUGUCCAA